rnacentral:tRNA from 1 species
GAGAACGUCGCGAAGCAGUCGCACGGGUCUUGAAAACCGCCGUGGGGGCAACUCCACCGUGGGUUCGAAUCCCACCCCUUCCGCCA